rnacentral:snRNA from 1 species
GUAUUUGCUUGGGCAGUGCAUACACUAAAAUUCAAACAAUGCAGAGAUUAGCGUGGCCCCUGCACAAGAAUAUUUUGCAGAUUGGGAAACUGAGGCUAGAGGGUU